GACGAACGCUGGCGGCGUGCUUAACACAUGCAAGUCGAACGGAAAGGCCCUGCUUUUGUGGGGUGCUCGAGUGGCGAACGGGUGAGUAACACGUGAGUAACCUGCCCUUGACUUUGGGAUAACUUCAGGAAACUGGGGCUAAUACCGGAUAGGAGCUCCUGCUGCAUGGUGGGGGUUGGAAAGUUUCGGCGGUUGGGGAUGGACUCGCGGCUUAUCAGCUUGUUGGUGGGGUAGUGGCUUACCAAGGCUUUGACGGGUAGCCGGCCUGAGAGGAUGACCGGCCACAUUGGGACUGAGAUACGGCCCAGACUCCUACGGGAGGCAGCAGUGGGGAAUAUUGCACAAUGGGCGGAAGCCUGAUGCAGCAACGCCACGUGCGGGAUGACGGCCUUCGGGUUGUAAACCGCUUUCGCCUGUGACGAAGCGUGAGUGACGGUAAUGGGUAAAGAAGCACCGGCUAACUACGUG
rnacentral:rRNA from 1 species